AAGAUCGUAUAAAACAAUGCUUAACUCUGCACAAGUGGAUUGAGAAAUUAGAGAAUAGUUUAUGUAGUUUUUUUCAGUAUAAAUGUCUAUCUAACGUAUCUUUCGUUUUCAGAGUAACUGUAGUGCAUUUAAUUCGAUGCAAUUUUUAACU